rnacentral:rRNA from 1 species
GUGCAAGUUGUUAAGUGCGAUCGGUGGAUGCCUUGGCACCAAGAGCCGAUGAAGGACGUUGUAACCUGCGAUAAGCCCUGGGGAGUUGGUAAACGAGCUGUGAUCCGGGGGUGUCCGAAUGGGGAAACCUGGAAUGUCCGGAGUAGUGUCCGGUGACCCUGCCCUGAAUGUAUAGGGGUGUGGGAGGUAACGCGGGGAAGUGAAACAUCUUAGUACCCGUAGGAAGAGAAAACAACCGUGAUUCCGUGAGUAGUGGCGAGCGAAAGUGGAUGAGGCUAAACCGUGUGUGUGUUCAAGCCGGCAGGUGUUGCAUGUGCGGGGUUGUGGGGGCCUUUGGGUUCUGCUGCCGCAGGAUUGGCCAGUGAUAAAUGUUGCGUGAAGGUGAAGCGUCUGGGAAGGCGUACCGGAGUGGGUGAGAGUCCCGUAACUGUAAGCGUGGCACUGGUGAGGGUUGCCCCAAGUAGCGUGGGACUCGUGGAAUUUCGCGUGAAUCUGGCGGGACCACCCGUCAAGCCUAAAUACUCCUGGGUGACCGAUAGUGGAUUAGUACCGUGAGGGAAUGGUGAAAAGUACCCCGGGAGGGGAGUGAAAGAGUACCUGAAACCGGUCGCAUACAAGCCGUCAGAGCCUUGUGGGGUGAUGGCGUGCCUUUUGAAGAAUGAGCCUGCGAGUUAGUGA